CCUACGGGAGGCAGCAGUGAGGAAUAUUGGUCAAUGGGCGCGAGCCUGAACCAGCCAAGUAGCGUGAAGGAUGACUGCCCUACGGGUUGUAAACCUCUUUUGUCAGGGAGCAAUUGGCGCUACGUGUAGCGUUAUCGAGAGUACCUGAAGAAAAAGCAUCGGCUAACUCCGUGCCAGCAGCCGCGGUAAUACGGAGGAUGCGAGCGUUAUCCGGAUUUAUGGGGUUUAAAGGGUGCGUAGGCGGAAUGCCAAGUCAGCGGUAAAAUCGCGGGGCUCAACCUCGCUCCGCCGUUGAAACUGGCGUUCUUGAGUGGGCGAGAAGUAUGCGGAAUGCGUGGUGUAGCGGUGAAAUGCAUAGAUAUCACGCAGAACUCCGAUUGCGAAGGCAGCAUACCGGCGCCCAACUGACGCUGAAGCACGAAAGCGUGGGUAUCGAACAGGAUUAGAUACCCUUGUAGUC
rnacentral:rRNA from 1 species